rnacentral:rRNA from 1 species
GACGAACGCUGGCGGCGUGCUUAACACAUGCAAGUCGAACGGAAAGGCCCUGCUUUUGUGGGGUGCUCGAGUGGCGAACGGGUGAGUAACACGUGAGUAACCUGCCCUUGACUUUGGGAUAACUUCAGGAAACUGGGGCUAAUACCGGAUAGGAGCUCCUGCUGCAUGGUGGGGGUUGGAAAGUUUCGACGGUUGGGGAUGGACUCGCGGCUUAUCAGCUUGUUGGUGGGGUAGUGGCUUACCAAGGCUUUGACGGGUAGCCGGCCUGAGAGGGUGACCGGCCACAUUGGGACUGAGAUACGGCCCAGACUCCUACGGGAGGCAGCAGUGGGGAAUAUUGCACAAUGGGCGGAAGCCUGAUGCAGCCAAGCCGCGUGCGGGAUGACGGCCUUCGGGUUGUAAACCGCUUUCGCCUGUGACGAAGCGUGAGUGACGGUAAUGGGUAAAGAAGCACCGGCUAACUACGUG